AGAGUUUGAUUAUGGCUCAGAACGAACGCUGGCGGCGCGCCUAAUACAUGCAAGUCGAGCGAGAAGACGUAGCAAUACGUUUGUAAAGCGGCGAACGGGUGAGGAAUACAUGGGUAACCUACCCUCGAGUGGGGAAUAACUAGCCGAAAGGUUAGCCAAUACCGCAUACGACUCCUGGUCUGCGGAUCGGGAGGGAAAGCGAUACCGUGGGUAUCGCGCUCUUGGAUGGGCUCAUGUCCUAUCAGCUUGUUGGUGAGGUAAUGGCUCACCAAGGCUUCGACGGGUAGCUGGUCUGAGAGGACGAUCAGCCACACUGGCACUGCGACACGGGCCAGACUCCUACGGGAGGCAGCAGUAAGGAAUAUUGCGCAAUGGGCGACAGCCUGACGCAGCGACGCCGCGUGGGGGAUGAAGGUCUUCGGAUUGUAAACCCCUUUCGGCAGGGAAGAUGGAACGGGUAACCGUUCGGACGGUACCUGCAGAAGCAGCCACGGCUAACUUCGUGCCAGCAGCCGCGGUAAUACGAAGGUGGCAAGCGUUGUUCGGAUUUACUGGGCGUACAGGGAGCGUAGGCGGUUGGGUAAGCCCUCCGUGAAAUCUCCGGGCCUAACCCGGAAAGUGCGGAGGGGACUGCUCGGCUAGAGGAUGGGAGAGGAGCGCGGAAUUCCCGGUGUAGCGGUGAAAUGCGUAGAGAUCGGGAGGAAGGCCGGUGGCGAAGGCGGCGCUCUGGAACAUUUCUGACGCUGAGGCUCGAAAGCGUGGGGAGCAAACAGGAUUAGAUACCCUGGUAGUCCACGCCUUAAACGAUGGAUACUAAGUGUCGGCGGGUUACCGCCGGUGCCGCAGCUAACGCAUUAAGUAUCCCGCCUGGGAAGUACGGCCGCAAGGUUGAAACUCAAAGGAAUGACGG
rnacentral:rRNA from 1 species